rnacentral:rRNA from 1 species
UACGUAGGGGGCAAGCGUUAUCCGGAUUUACUGGGUGUAAAGGGAGCGUAGACGGCAGCGCAAGUCUGGAGUGAAAUGCCGGGGCUCAACCCCGGAACCGCUUUGGAAACUGUGCAGCUAGAGUGCGGGAGAGGUAAGCGGAAUUCCUAGUGUAGCGGUGAAAUGCGUAGAUAUUAGGAGGAACACCAGUGGCGAAGGCGGCUUACUGGACGGCAACUGACGCUGAGGCUCGAAAGCGUGGGGAGCAAACAGG